CUCUUGGAUAAGGCUCUUUAUU
rnacentral:miRNA from 1 species